AUGGAAAAUAAUGUUACUGAAUUUAUCUUCAUGGGUCUUUCCCAAAAUGAGAAGGUACAGCAACUAUGCUUCUUUUUGUUCUUACUCUUUUAUAUGAUACUCAUGACGGGAAAUUUUCUCAUUAUAAUGACAAUUCAAAGGAGUCCAAAUCUCAAGUCUUCAAUGUACUUCUUCCUUAGCUUCCUAUCCUUUGUGGACAUCUGCUAUUCCUCUGUUACAGCCCCCAAGCUGAUUAUUGAUUCCCAAGCCAAAGUCAAGAGCAUCUCUUUUGUUGGUUGUAUGGUGGAGCUCUUUUUCUCCCAUCUCUUUGGCUGCACAGAGAUCUUUAUUCCCACAGUGAUGGCCUAUGACAGGUAUGUGGCUAUCUGUAAGCCUCUAUGCUAUAUGACUAUCAUGGACCAGAAGGUCUGCUCCAUACUGGUGGUAAUCUGUUGGUUAGAAGGAUUUGUGCAUUCCUUUAUCUAGACCAUCCUCACUGUACGACUGCCUUUCUGUGGCCCCAACCUGAUUGACCACUAUUUCUGUGAUGUCCACCCUUUACUGAAGCUGGCUUGCACAGACACAUAUGUGGUGGGGGUCAUUGUGAUAGCCAACAGUGGCAUGAUUUCCCUGAGCUGCUUGGUCAUUCUUGUGGGCUCUUACAUUGUCAUCUUGCUUUCCUUUAAGACCCGUUCAUCAGAGGGGAGGCGCAAGGCCCUGUCCACAUGUGCUUCCCACAUCAUAGUGGUGAUCUUGUUUUUUGUCCCCUGCCUCUUCAUCUACCUAAGGCCUUCCACCACUUUUACUGAGGACAAGAUAGUGGCUGUGUUCUAUACCACCAUCACACCCAUGUUAAACCCUCUGAUCUACACCCUGAGAAACAUGGAGGUGAAAAAUGCCAUGAAGAGACUGUGGAUUGAGAGAUUGUUGGACAGAAAUAAGAGAGACUCUGGUGUGAAGCUGAGUGGGAUUGGUAUAGCCUCAGUUGUACCAGUUUCCACAAGGGUUGCUGGGAACAAGUCAAUCAUCAUCCCUUAA